GUGAAUCAUCGAAUUUUUGAACGCACAUUGCACUUUCUGGUAUUCCGGGGAGUAUGCCUGUUUGAGGAUCAGUUAAAUAAAAGUCGGUGUUGUUUCUACUUUUUGCGAUGAUUCAUCGGAUUUGAGUUGUCUUUACUUUUUUUGGUUAAAGUGACUUAAAAUUAUGUACGAUUUUGUGAACGUAUUUAAAUUGUUUACGUAUGUUCAUAAUAUCAAAUAUAUUAGUUGCGAUCAUCCUCAUGAUUUCGCGCCUAUAAUUUUGCAUUAUUUGACUUCAAGUCAUGUAAUAGUUCCCGCUGAA
rnacentral:misc_RNA from 1 species